CCUACGGGGUGCUGCAGUGGGGAAUAUUGGACAAUGGGCGAAAACCUGAUCCAGCCAUGCCGCGUGUGUGAAGAAGGCCUUCGGGUUGUAAAGCACUUUCAGUGGGGAAGAAAGCCUUGGGGCUAAUACCCUCGAGGAAGGACAUCACCCACAGAAGAAGCACCGGCUAACUCCGUGCCAGCAGCCGCGGUAAUACGGAGGGUGCGAGCGUUAAUCGGAAUUACUGGGCGUAAAGCGCGCGUAGGCGGUCUGAUAAGCCGGUUGUGAAAGCCCCGGGCUCAACCUGGGAACGGCAUCCGGAACUGUCAGGCUAGAGUGCAGGAGAGGAAGGUAGAAUUCCCGGUGUAGCGGUGAAAUGCGUAGAGAUCGGGAGGAAUACCAGUGGCGAAGGCGGCCUUCUGGACUGACACUGACGCUGAGGUGCGAAAGCGUGGGUAGCAAACAGGAUUAGAUACCCUAGUAGUC
rnacentral:rRNA from 1 species